rnacentral:rRNA from 1 species
ACUCCUACGGGAGGCAGCAGUGGGGAAUUUUGGACAAUGGGCGCAAGCCUGAUCCAGCAAUGCCGCGUGAGUGAAGAAGGCCUUCGGGUUGUAAAGCUCUUUCAGCUUGAAAAGAAAAAGCCGUGACUAAUAAUCAUGGUCAUGACGGUAUCAACAGAAAAAGCACCGGCUAACUACGUGCCAGCAGCCGCGGUAAU